rfam:Ciona savignyi cont_25528, whole genome shotgun sequence.
GCUUCUAUAGCUCAUUGGCAAAGCACUGGUCUUGUAAACCAGGGGUUGUGAGUUCAAUCCUUACUGGAGGUA